GACGAACGCUGGCGGCGUGCCUAAUACAUGCAAGUAGAACGCUGAAGGAGGAGCUUGCUUCUCUGGAUGAGUUGCGAACGGGUGAGUAACGCGUAGGUAACCUGCCUGGUAGCGGGGGAUAACUAUUGGAAACGAUAGCUAAUACCGCAUAAUAGUAGAUGUUGCAUGACAUUUACUUAAAAGGUGCAAUUGCAUCGCUACCAGAUGGACCUGCGUUGUAUUAGCUAGUUGGUGGGGUAACGGCUCACCAAGGCGACGAUACAUAGCCGACCUGGGAGGGGGAUCGGCCACACUGGGACUGAGACACGGCCCAGACUCCUACGGGAGGCAGCAGUAGGGAAUCUUCGGCAAUGGACGAAAGUCUGACCGAGCAACGCCGCGGGAGUGAAGAAGGGUUUCGGAUCGGAAAGAUCUGUUGUAAGAGAAGAAAGAGUGUGAGAGUGGAAAGUUCACACUGUGACGGUAUCUUACCAGAAAGGGACGGCUAACUACGUG
rnacentral:rRNA from 1 species